AAGAAACGAAAAUAGAAACAGCGUAAUUACAGGGAGAACUAAACGACGGGCUGAACGGGAAAAUCUGAAAAGCAGAGAAGAAGCAAUAAUUUCGGCUUCUUUAGCCAUACCAAACGCUCCCUUAUGGCCCACAAGCGUUUUCACAACACUAUAAAUACCAGCACCCUCUUUUCAUUCCUACAUCACAGAAUAAAAGAGAAAACCUCACUGCACCUUCAACCCUUGUUUCUUCCUUCUCUUUCUUUCUGCACUUUCUGUAGCCAUGGCAUCUCAAGUCAACUUCUUCCUCGUUGCUCUCAUCGCAACACUUUUCUUCGCCGUGGCCACCGCUCAAGAAUUGUCUCCGGCCCCGGCACCGGGACCUGAUGCCGGAGCAGGCGCUUCCGUGUCAAGCUCCAUGGCCGUGAUCGGAGCUUCGAUUGUGGUUUCAGUGUUCGCGAUAUUGAAGCAGUGAGUUUACUGGAACGGUGAUCUGAUUGCGAUUGUGUCUUAUGGAAAGAGAGAAAGAGAUUAUGAUACGAUGUAACGUGAACCAUUCAUUGUAGGUGUCGGUGAGAUGUAACAGGGAUUUUUAAUCCCUUUUAUCUUUCAUCCAUUUUUUUUAUUCAUUAAUUAAUAUAUAUUUUUCUAAUUCUUUAUAAUUAAUCAUUACUUUUCAAAAUUUAUUACUUGGUAAUUAAUUUUAGUUUUAUACUAAUUUUUUUUUUCUAUUAUGUCAUAUUUCCAAACAGUUUAUCUGAACUUCAGUCUUUUAAGAGGGGAAAAUUUGAAAAAUGCGAUCAAUACGGGAAAUUUGUAAAAUGAGUUUAAUUGUUAAAACGUGAAAUUCUAAUAUAUAAAAAUAUAAUUGAUUAGAUGAAAAGAUUGUUUUAAUUUAUUAAAGUUGGGUAAUAGAUUAGUUUUGUUAGUUAAUACAAUUAAAGAAGUGUUUGAUAGUUUUUAAUAAUUGUCUUAUUCAAAAAAAAAAAUACCAUAUAGUUAAUUUUAAGUAUUUAUUAAAGAUUUCAAAUUUAUAUAAAAAAAUACAUUAACUUAUUCAGUAAACACGCGUCCCAAUUAAUAAAAAAUUAAACACAUAUUCAAUUAUAUAUUAUAGUAAUUAUUAAGGGGAUUAAGAUUUAUAGGUAAAUUUAAUGAAAAAAGUAGUAACUUGAUUUAUUCAAUAAAAAAUCAAUCCAAUUUGUUUAUCAGCUCAAAAUUUAACCAAAAGUAAAACUCCUAUAAUCUCGGAAAAGUAAAUCAAUCCAACUGGUUUAUUAGCUCAAAAUCUGACAACUUUCAUUCUUUAACAAAAUUUGAAGAUAAAAAUGAUUAAAAAAUUUGGAAAAAAGACAAUUUAAUUUGUUAUGAAAAUUAAAAUACUGAAAACACAAUUAACUCAAAAUCUUCUCCAAUCUUUGAUAUAUAUAUAUAUAUAUAUAUAUGCAAAAUCAUGAGAGGAGAAUUUUAAUUUCUCAUGAGAAAAUUUUAAUUUCUCGUGAGAUAAGAAUUUGAAUUACUCAUGAGAUAAGAAUUUGAACUUCUCAUUAGAUGACAAUUUGAAUUUCUCAUGAGAUGAGAAUUUGAAUUUGAAAUUCUCAUGAGAUGAGAAUUUGAAUUUCUCACGAGAUGAGAAUUUGAAUUUCUCACGNNNNNNNNNNNNNNNNNNNNNNNNNNNNNNNNNNNNNNNNNNNNNNNNNNNNNNNNNNNNNNNNNNNNNNNNNNNNNNNNNNNNNNNNNNNNNNNNNNNNNNNNNNNNNNNNNNNNNNNNNNNNNNNNNNNNNNNNNNNNNNNNNNNNNNNNNNNNNNNNNNNNNNNNNNNNNNNNNNNNNNNNNNNNNNNNNNNNNNNNNNNNNNNNNNNNNNNNNNNNNNNNNNNNNNNNNNNNNNNNNNNNNNNNNNNNNNNNNNNNNNNNNNNNNNNNNNNNNNNNNNNNNNNNNNNNNNNNNNNNNNNNNNNNNNNNNNNNNNNNNNNNNNNNNNNNNNNNNNNNNNNNNNNNNNNNNNNNNNNNNNNNNNNNNNNNNUGAGAAUUUGAAUUAAUCAUGAAAUGAGAAUUCGAAUUUCUCAUGAGAUGACAAUUUGAAUUUCUCAUGAGAUGACAAUUUGAAUUUCUCAUGAGACGAGAAUUUGAAUUUGAAAUUAUCAGGAGAUGAGAAUUUGAAUUUCUCACGGAUGAGAAUUUGAAUUACUCAAGAGAAUUUGAAUUUCUCGUCAGAUGAGAAUUUGAAUUUCUCAUGAGAUGAGAGUUUGAAUUUCUCAUGAGAUGAGAUUUUGAAUUUCUCAUGAGAUGAGAGAUUGAAUUUCUCAUGAGAUGAGAGUUUGAAUUUUUCAUGAGGUGAGAAUUUGAAUUUCUCAUGAGAUGAGAAUUUGAAUUUGAUUUUGAAUUUGAAUUACUCAUAAGAUGACAAUUUGAAUUUCUCAUGAGAUGAGAAUUUUGAAUUUCUCACCCGACCCCCCACCCCCAACCCCCGACAUACUUUUAUUAACAAAUAUGAUAUAUCCAACCAAUUGUAAAACCUCUUAAAAUAAUGGAGAGAAAAAGCAUAUAUUUAUUAAUAUUAAAAUGGAAAACAAAAGUAAAAGAAAAAUUAAUAAUUUAUAACAAACAUUAUAAUGAUUAUGUGGACCUAUACUUAAAGAUUAUACCUUAUGACAAUAUUGCUUUGUAUGUUUUGAUAUCAUAAUUCACUAUAAAUAAAUGCUUAAGACUUAUAUAUAUAUAUAUAUAUAUAUAUAUAUAUAUAUAUAUAUAUAUAUAUAUAUAUAUGAUAUGUAUAAUUUUAUAUUGUGUUGUUAAGACAAAGUUUAUAUUUACGUUAUGAUUUAGAAGUAUUUUUACAUUUGAGAUGGAAAUGAGUAAUUUUUAAAAAGAUGAGAAAAUGAAAAAAAAAAUUGUUUUCAAAGCAUAACUUUAAAUAAAUAAAUUGUGUUUUGAGAUAUAACUUCAUUUGAAGAAAAAAAUGUAAUUAUUUUCCUUUUUUUUUUUACUUAUUUGAAUAAUGUCAUCCUAUUUUCCCUUUUUCUAAUUGGCAAUAUAUUUUUUUAUGUUACGAGAAUGUUCAUUAUUUUCAAUUUAUUGUCCAAAAUUAUGAGAAUAAGCUUUUAUGAAAUUGCAUGAUUAUUUGGAUCGGGUUUAAAAGGGACUUUUGUGAAUGUGAUCAUGUUUUAUUUUUUGUAAAUUUGUGUUUGUGAUUGGUUCGACCAUGGCUUGAGAAGUUGUCUUCUGAGAAUAAUAUAUUUCACUUUUGACUGAGAAAGCUAUUCUUUGAGAGUGUUUUGUUUUAUCAUAGUUGGAAAUGUUCCCUUACGAGUACGAUAUGUUUCAUUUUUUAUCAUAGAGAUAAUGAUUUUGUGAAAACAAAUUCUAAAAAACCCACAAUCAAAUAGUGAGAGUGAAAAAUUUUCCUUUUUCAUUGUUUCAAACAUGUUUUCCGAUUACAUUAUUUAAUUAGAUUUCUUUUUGACUAUUAUGUCAAAAGUAUGGUUUUUUUAAAGAAUACUUUCGUCCUUUAUUUAAUUAAAUUAAAAUUGCAUAAGUCGAACUGCUGUAUGCCCAUUUAUGUGAUUACUCAACUAUUUAAUUUAAUAAUAUCAUAUCACAUUAAAAGUGCAUAAACUUUAAAUAAUUGUAAAAUGCGUAGAUAAAUUAGGUAAUCUGAGUAAUUGUUUUUCCUCUUUUUCAUUUCUGGUUUGUAUCUCUUACGAGCUGGUUAGAUAAUUUAAUUUAAAUUAAGAUUAAUUUUUUCUCCUUUUUUUUAAAUUUCUUUAUUAUUAAUGAAAUGUUUAAUCUGUCCAUUCUAAAAAUAAUAUGAAAUUUAUUAUAAUCCUAUAAUCAAUAGUGUCUCGAUUUUAUAAAUUUUCACAAUAUAUUAUUAUAAUAUUGAUUAUAAAUUGUACCAUUAUAUAGAUUAAAAUCAUCAAUAUUUAUUUGUUAGCUACUUCAUAAUUAAUUAGGUAGAAAGUAAUCAUAUAUACUUUUAAAAGUUGAGAAACCUAAUUGAAUCUUUUAUUAAUAAAAUGAACCAAAUUAAAUAAAAACAUUAGAAACAACUGAAUAAAAAAAACAAGGAAUAAUAAGAAUAAUGGAAAAUAUUAAUAUAAUAUAAUAAUAGAAACAAUAAUGAAUACAAAAACUCCUCUUAUUUUUCACUAACACCUACAAUAAAUGAUUUACUAUAUAAGAAUAAUCUCUCUUUCUUUCUCUCUUCUCCAUAAGACAUAGAUCAACUCAUCAUAAUCACGAUUAGUGUAAUAAAUACUGUUUACGCCAAAUCCACCAUGGACUCAUCAGAUAAGCAAGAUUCAGUGCUUGAAUAUGGCGAACAUCGAAAGCACAAUCGAAGCUCCAAUCACGGCCACAGAGCUUGAAACAGAUCCGGCAGCUCCGGCAUCGGGUCCUGGAGCCGGCGCCGGAGACAGAUCUUGAGCGGUGGCGACGGCGAAGAAAAGUGUGGCGACGAGAGCCACGAGGAAGGCGUUGACGGAGAAUGCUUGAGAUGCCAUGACUCGAAAAAGCGCAGAGAGAAAGAAAACGAAGAAACAAGAAUUGAAGGUGUUGUGAGGCUUUUGUUUUUAUUCCGCGAUGGAAGAAAGAAGAGAGGGUGGUGGUAUUUAUAGGGUUGUGGGAACGCGUGUGGGUCCCACGACAACGUGGGACAGGUGGAUGAUGAGGAAGAUGUGUGGUGUAAACGAAAGGCAGUGAGUUGUGAGAGAAGGUUUCGUUUGGUUUGAAAAAAAAAAGCCGACAUUGAUGUUUGUUGUGUCCAUUUGAGCUUUUCUCGUUGUUGUGUCGUCAUGUUUGGAAUUCUUGUAACUCAUUAGCUGAAUUGUUAAACAAACUUCAUUAGUUGGAAUCGUCUGGUGCAUGCAUAUUCCAAAGGGUUAUGUAGAAAUUUAUUAAUUUUAGAUAAAUAUAUUAAAGUAGUAUAAUUUUGAUAUGAGUUGUGUUGAAAUUAGAUACUAUUGAAAAAAAAAUGUAUUAGUCCUUUGUUAAUAAAGGAAAGAUGGACUAUAUAUAACUUUUGAAAAUCGGUGAUGUGGAUGUACUUUGAUUAAAUAGUGUAUUUUAAUUAGCAUGGUAAAAUCAAAUUUUAAAAUAAAACAAACAUUAAUUUAAGAAAACUUAAUUAAGAACAUUUUCAUCAGGAGUUCGAAACUAAUUGUGAGUUACAAACUAGAUUUUUCUAAUGUUUUUGUUGAAAUAUGAAACUACGUGGGUUGUUAGAAAAAUAAAAUUUUUCUACAAAAGCUAAUCAUUGUUUGACUUAUAUUAAGUCUAUUAUGAAAUUAGAAAGAGUAACAUGACACAUAUUUAUAUUUAUUUGACAUAUUUAAUAAAGGUAAAAUAGUCUUAAAAAAGUAAUUUUUUUAAAUUUUCAAAAAAAGAGAAAGUAAAAAUAAAGAAAAAUAAUGUCAAAUUAAUUUGAAAAAAAUUAUGUGAGUCAAAAUAUCAUUUCUCAAUUAAAAAGUCGAGAAUUCUUUAAAAAGUGAAUCAGAUAUCCUUAAUGUACAUAAUAUAUAGAGCGAUAAAUAAGAGUGUUAAUGUUAAAACAUAGUUAGAGUAUCACUAGGGCAUAAUUUAAUGUUAAAAAUAGAUGCCUUUUUUUUUUAAAUUAAAUGAACAAUUUUACUAUGAAUGUUAGGGGACUGAUGUGUAAUUCUUUCUAAAUAUUUAGAAAAACUAAGUGAAAAAGAAUGUUUUUGAAGAGUUUAAUAUCGGAUGCUAAGGAGUCGACGUUAUAUCUCUUUUAGAUAUCUGUCUACAGGGGGUCAACGUCUAAUUGUUUUUAUAACAUUUAAUAAAAUUAGCUAGAAGACAAUGUUUCUUGAAGAGUUUGAUGUCAAAGGCCUAGAGAGUGACAUCAUAUUCCUUUAGACGUCACAUAUUCGUGUGAUCAAUGUCUAAUAGUGUUUAAAAUAAUAAAAAAACCUAAAUCAGAAUGACCUUUCUUCUACCCUUUCGACAUCGGAUACAUAAAGGUUGACAUCAUAUCCAUUUAGACAUUGGAUUAUGUGGGUGGCUGACGUCAUAUGAUGUUUGAAACAUUAAAACAUCUAAUGCAAAAAGCCAUUUUCCUACACCCUUUAAACGUCGAUCCUCGUACGAUCCGACAUCUAAUGAGAUACGACGUUGGCUCCCAGAGAAACUGACAUCAUAUGUUGUUUAAAAAAUUAGUAAAAAAAAAUAGCGCAAAAGUAUUUCCCUUUUAUUGUUCCUUUGUAUUCUCACUUAUUAGGCCUCCCAACGACUUGGGCGACUACCACCAAAGAUAACUUUUCAACCAUUUAACACAAAUGCAUGUUUUGUGGCUGCUUUGGGUAUAAUUUUAUAAUGUUUUCACCAAUUAUUUGUGUACAGUUUGUGUGUUUUGAACAUUUAAGCACGACGCGAAUUCUCUUUUCUCCCUCAUAGACAAUGACUUCUCUACACCAACAAUGACACCACCCUUCAACUUCAUUCAAGCUUUUUGGUUGGAUACACGAUUGGUUUUUUGUUUUCAAUAUACAUUGCAUGCAAUUUGUCUUUUAAUUGGAUAUUAGAUGUGAUUUUGGUUUUUUCCGAAUACUUAGUCAAAUUUUAAGAUGCAAUGGUUUUCAUAUACUUAGCCAAUUUUUUUAGGUAUUUGAUAAACUUAUUUUUUUAGUUCCUAUUGCACUCUGUCUCUUAUUCCUUAGUUGUGUGUGGCAUGGGUUAGUUUUUCUUCACCAUAAUUGUUUUUAUCUUAAACAAAUUUUUAGUUGGUUUUUUUGCAUUUUAUUUCUAAUUAAAUUUUUAAAAUAUUUGUAGUGUGAAAUUUAGAUUUAUUAUUAGUUUAAAUAAUUUUAGUUUUAUUAAGAUUUAUUAUAAUUUUAGUUUUAUUAAUAUUUAAUAUAAUUUUAGUUAAACACUGAGUGAACCUUAAAUCUCAAAUGUUUUGAUCUGACAAUUUAGAAAAAUUAUUUUUCAUAAUUUACUAUAACGUGUACAUUGAAGUUUAUGCAUAAAUUUGAUGAAAUUUCGGUAAAAAUCAUUUUGUAUUCUUCUUCAAAUGCAUACUUGGUUGUGACCAUGAGUGAUCACUUUCUAUUCGUGUACUUUAGAGACCAAUGCGAAAUGUUGCAUAAAUUUUAUCAAAUUUAUGAUUUUAGACUUCUUCUUAUACAUGUUAAGAAAUUAUGAAAAAUAUUUAUUCUAAAUGGAUAUGGCCUCACCUUGUGAGAGUUAAAAAAAAUGAGACUAAUGAAGUUUGUUGCAAGUAUAAUAUGAUUUAAAGCUGGAUAAAUGAACGCCGUAUCAAUGAAAAGUAUGAAAAAGAGGUUUCUGAGUUCUUACAAUAUGUUCAACAACACACAAUCUUUUUGAACGAGACAUUUUUUUGUCAUUGUGUUUAUUGUCUUAAUAAAUUACGUCAAGACUUAGGCAAUAUAUGUGAUCAUUUAUUCAUCUUCGUUAUAGUGAGGAGUUAUACAAUUUAGAUUUGGCAUGAAAAAGUAUUACACAAGCCUACAACGUCACUGGGAACAAAUUAAGUAAACGAAUGGAUGAGUGAUCAGUUAGAGAACAUGGUACAUGAUGUUGAUGAAGAAAAUUUUGGAAGAACUCAUUUAUAUGAUUUUGUUAAGUUCAAUUCAGAGGAAAAAUUGUAUCUAGGAUGCUCUAACUUUACAUGAUUGUUAGCAACUUUAAAAUGUUUAGUUUAAAAAAGAGGAAUAGAUAGAUUGAUAAAAAGUUUCACAAAAUUGUUGGAUUUGCUGAAGGAGAUGCUUCCAAAAAAUAACAUGUUACAUAUUCGUAAUUACAAGGCGAAUGAAAUUCUAUGUCCAAUGAGUUUGGAAUACUAAAAGAUAAAUACAUGCCCCAAUGAUUGUGUAUUGCAUAGAGACGAGUUUGUUUCAGUGAAGGCGUGUCCAACAUGUGGUUUAUCGCAAUUUAAAAAGAAAGUUGAUGGAAAUAGUAGUGAUGAAGACAAAAAUGGCCGACCUACUAAGGUGGUGUGAUACUUGCCUAUACUACAUAGGUUGAAAUGAUUCUUUUCCAUUAAAGAAGAUGUGAAGAACCUGAAAUAGCACGUUGAUAGAAAAAUGUGUGAUAAUAUUCUUUGAUACUUAGCUGAUUUCCCAUAAUGAAAGAAGAUUGAUGAAACAUUUCUAAAAUUUGGUACAAAGUCAAGAAAAUUAAGACUCACACUUGGUAGUACGGAUAGUAUGAAUCCUUAUGGCAAAUUAAGUAUCAAAGAUAGUUCAUGGCUAAUUUUUUAUGAUUUACAAUCAUUCUUCUUUGUUGUGCUUGAAAAAAAAAAUGUAUGAUGUUUUCUAUGAUGAUAUGGAAUCUGACAAUCUAAAAAUGAUAUUGAUAUGUAUAUGAAGUUGUUGAUCAAUAAUUUGAAAAUAAUGUGAAAAGAAAGCAUUAAUGUGUUCAAUUCAUAUUCUUAAGAAAUUUUUCAUUUCCAUACAAUAUUGUUUUGCACCAUAAACGAUGAAACUUAUUUAUGAGUACAUGGUAAUUUAUUUAUGAAUUUAAAAAAUAUAUUUUGAAUUACACGAAUUUAUUAAAAAAAUAGGUACAUGAUCAUUUUUAACUUUUUUUUUUAGUAUAAUUUUAAAGAGGAAUCAUUUUAAGUUUAUGAAUUUUUACGAGGGUGAAAAAAAUACAAAAGAAGAAACAACCUAGUUAUCGUACGGGUUUUUGAAAAAAAGGAAGAAAACAAAAUAGAGAAUAUAAAUAAAAAGUAAAUAAGGGGUUGGCAAGGUGUGUAUACCGCGUAGCAGACCUGUCCAAACAUAAAAAAAAAUGGAGAAAAGUUGAUAUAUAAAAUGGAGCACAGCAGAGACAACUGAAACAAAUUUUAAUCAACUAAUAAUUAAAAAUACAAAAAUCGAUCUCAGAAAAACUUGCAAACCCAGUCUUAAUUAUGUCCCUAUAAAAAAAAUGGUUUGUUGUACACUUACAUAAAAUUUGAAAUUAUUAUUUUUGUCCAGAUAAUACAGAAGUGUAAAAUUUUAUUUAUUUUUCUAUGAUACGUAUUUAUAUUUUAAAAAUAAAACUAUUAUUUUAUGAUAAAUUAAUAAAAUAUAUUUUGUGAAGGUGCUUUUUAAAAAAUGUAACACGCUGAUAAUUGUGUACUAGAGCAAUUACAACACUACAGUAGGAUGAACCGGUUUCUAUUUUGUGGUGGGCUAAGCUUUUAUAAUAAAUAGGAAAAUGUUUAAUAUCUAUAUACUUAUAAAAUGUAAACAAAUUUAAAUAACAUUAAAAUUUUCAAAAUAUUAAAUAUAAAUUUUAAUAAGAGACUGAAUAACUUCAUUAAAAAACGUUUAAAUUUACAAAUAUGAAUUAUCAGUAAUUUUUAGAUUAUUUCUAUCUUUAAAAAUAUAUUGAUUUUAUCUAUUAAAAAUUUCUUAAUACACUAUAAAAUAUCAAAAUCAGUAAAUAACAGAAUAAAAAGUAGAGAGAAUAGAAAAACAACGUAAUGGAGUACAUUUAUAUUAAUAAUAAUAAUACAUGGUGAAAUUGAAAAAAAAAAUAAAAAUCUCUCUUAUUUCUCACUAACACCUACAAUAAAUGGUUUAAUAUAUAACAAUAAUCUCUUCCUCUUCUCUCUUUCUUUGCAUAAGACAUAGAUCAACUCAUUAUAAUCAUCAUAAUAAAUAUUGUUCACACAAAAUCCACAACAAAACUAAUAUACGGAAUAAACUCAUCAGAUAAGCGAGAUUCAGUGCUUGAACAUGGCAAACAUCGAAAGCACAAUCGAAGCUCCGAUCACGGCCACAGAGCUAGAAACAGAUCCGGCUGCUCCGGCAUCAGGUCCUGGUGCGGGGGCCGGAGACAGAUCUUGAGCGGUGGCGACGGCGAAGAAAAGUGCCGCAACGAGAGCCAAGAGGAAGGCGUUGACGGAGAAUGCUUGAGAUGCCAUGACUCGAAAAAGCGUAGAGAGAAAGAGAACGAAGAAACAGGCGUUGAAGGUGCUGUGAGCUUUAGGUUUAUUUUGCAAUGAAUGAGGGAAGAGAGGGUGGUGGUAUUUAUAGUGUUGGGAAAUGCGUGUGGGCCCCAGGAAAACGUGGACAGGUGUGUGGUGAAGACGAUGUGCGGUGUGAAUGAACGGUAGAGAGUUGGUGAGAGAGACUGUUCUUUACGUUUCAUUGCUUUUUCGGUCUGAAAGAUUCACGUUGAAUCCGUUCCGUUAUAAAUGUGACGUAAAAUAAAUCAAUGAUAGGAAACGACUAGUUGAAAAACGGUUCCCUUAAACGUAGGGAUUUGUUUGUUUACCUAAGGAAACUUCUCGACGGUGUAAUGAAGAGAGAUUUGUCUUGAAUAUUCUUGAAUAAUUUAACCAAUAAAAUUAUUUGUAAAAACUUAUAUACAUUAAAAAACUUUUUACAAAUAUUUAUUUAGAUAUUAUAAAUUGAUUUUGUUUAUGAACACUUUUCAACAUAUUUUUUCAUAUCAAAAUAUAUAUAUUAUGUAAGAUUAAAUAUUAAUAAAUAAUUUAAUAAUCUGCGUUGAAUUGUGUGCUGUCGCUGCUUUUGUUUUUUUGGGUUUCUUUAUUGUGUUCUCUUUUGCAUCUGCCGCAAAAGGAAAACUGAAGUGGCCGUUACUCCUGGAGAGCUCCGUCACAACGGCAUCAAGAAAACGACGUCUACCUGUUCAUCAUUUCAAUUUUUCUAAUAACAUUUUAUUAUUAAGGAAAAUGUUAAUUCAAUAGAGGAAAUUUAAAAAAAAAAAAAGGAUAACAGGAGUAAGAAACAGAUACAAUAGAUAAAUACAAGAAGAAAGAUUGAAAGGAAAUAGACAAAAAUAAGUAGGUGAACAAAAUAAAAUAUUUAUUAUUACUUUUAGAAGAAAUACAAGUAUUUAGUUGUUACUGUAAUAAUUAAAGACUCACACUACGUAAGAAAAAGAAAAAAAAAAGGAAAAAAAAUCAUGUUUUUAGAUUAAAUUUUUUUCUAAAGUAGAUUCCUUUCUACUCAAUAUUUUUUUAAAAUAACAUAUAAUUCAUGAUAUUUAUUUAAAUAACAGUGAUUAAUAUUUAUCGUGAUUCUAAAAUAUCAUAUUUUCAAAUAUAAUUUUACAAAGCUAUUAAAUGGAGUAAUUAUUUUAAUAAAUUUAAUGAUUUAAUUAUGUUAUGAGAUUUGCGUACAAACACAAACACAAACAGUCUUUAAGAUUUGAAAAUUGAUAUGUAAGGGUUAAUCGAAUAGAUGUUGUGACAAAUAUGAGGUAGUAAGUGAUCUCUUUUUAACAUAUCUUUAUGUGGUACACUUGUUGAAUGUAUUUAAUAUUGUUUUCUUGAUACAUUUGUAAUAUGACAAAGUCUUAACACGCUUUCAAAAGACGGUAAAGCCUUAAUUAGAUUUCAAAAUGUUGGUUAAAGCUUCAUUUUCAUUUUCCAUUGCCACGAACUAGAGACAUACACACCUCAGCCAUUUUUAGCCAUUUCAAGUAUUAAAUUCAAAUCAAUAUCACACAUCUUAAUCGCAAUACAAAAAACAAAAUGAAAUUCAAAAAUGGUGUACAUUCAGUGAGGAAGAAGGAUGAAUGUUUAAACCUUCCUAAAUAUGACAAUGCACGAGCAACUUCGAAAAUAUGGAAGGCGCAAGGGAGAAAAUGAGACAUAACAAAAUAAAGGAAGAGAGCCAAAUCAAUCCAGCACAUAAAGAAUAUAUAGAUUUGUUUUAUUGUUGUAACAUUAGAAUCAUUAUGUUCUUUGAGAGUUAUUAGAAUAAUUGAAGACUUUACUUGAUUCUUAGUCAUAUCAACAAGUAAUGACGGUUCAACCGAAUUUACCUACCAUCAAAAUGAUGAUCAACUAAAGUUUUAGCCAAUUAGUAGUUGUGAUAUGCAUAAAUUACCUUUAACAUCCAACUCUCUAUGUUAAAAUAAAGUUUAUGCUUCAAUUUAAAAGAAUAAUCACAUUUUCUUGUGCCAGAUAAAUGCAGAGUUGAACAUUAGGUUUGUAUUCUAUACUUCUCACUCCUUUCACAAUUUAACAACACAAACGUCUUUUUUCUAUAUUCACUGGUAAGAUCUUAUAAUAAUUACAACAAAUUAAUUAAAUGUAAUUCUUCGAAUUCAUUUAUAAGUGAAAAAGAAAAUUCAAACACAAAACUCGAAUUUAUUUUCGAAUCCAUCAACUCAAAUGAAUAAUAUAACAACUUCUUUUAGUUGGUAAAAAUUUAUUAAAUUAGGUAGUAUUUAAUUAUUACGGUACGCUUUUUUUUAUUUAAUUUUAAAGGGCAAAAUGGCCUUGUAGGAAAAAGAGAGGGAUGUACAGGGAGAAGCAUCCGUACUUAUUCUAUGUAAAUGACAUUUUUCAUGUUCAAAUUAAAAACAUGACUAGUAAUUUAAUAUACAAAUUGUUUAAAGUAUAUGAAUAUUCAAAUUUUAAACUAUUGUUGACAAAUUGUCCAUACAAAACCCAAGAUGAACAUUAAAAUUGUAAAAUUUCCUCUUAGAAACCCAUCACUUAUGAGAAUGAGUAUGAAGUGAACAAAACCCCACCUUUUGUGAUACCUUCUCCAACCCCCAUCAAAAAAGACUUGUAAAGGUCACAAUAUCCUUGUAAUUUGGAGGGUUGUCAAUAUUAUUGCAAUUCAAAUGGGAUGGACAAAGUGUAAUUUUGGUGAAACUAAAUAAUAUUAAAUAAGAUUUUUUUUUUCAUGGGCCUCUUUAAUUAAAAGAUAUUGUGUGGUAUAUUCAGUUGGUGAAACUUAUGAGGAUUGUACUGGUAUAUCCAUAAAAAAGAAAAGAAAAAAGAAAAGGGAAUCAAUAUAAGCCACAAAAAGGGCUCUGACAAAGUCCUAAAGAAAAUAACAAAACCAAUACAAAACAUGUUGAAUCCUUUAUCCUAAGAUUCUUGGUACUGUGCCAACCACAGCAAGGAAAUCCAAGUAUACAACAGAAAGGUAUCUCUUUAAGAUCUCAAUAUAGAACAGGAAAACUUCAUCACCCCAAUCAAUUUUUGCAUAUUACUUUGAAAUCCACCAGAAAAAAGUAAUGCUUCUAAAAGUCUCACUGAUGGCUAAAAGAGUGCAUUCCACCAUGCUUCUAAUAGAGUAUACCACCACCAAUCCAUACUUCGAUUUAUAUGCUUUAAAAAUGAAUUUAUUUAAGUUUAUACCCUCGUACCAUGUCCAACUACCAUUUAUAGCACAUGCACUUUAUUACAACGACAGAAUGCCCAAGUGUGCAGCUUCUUUCUCUGGUGCCUCUGAAAUUUUGAUUAAGAGAAAAUAAACAAAUCAUUAUCAGCAGACAGAAUUUAAUAUCCUAUAACAGAUUAACUAUUCCAUAUAUUUCUAGGAGAAUAAAAUAACAUUACAGAUCAAUAAGUCUUUCCUCAUAAAUAAAAUUUAGUUUACGAACAAAUUAAUAGCUUUUCAAAACUUAGAUUUUUAACUUGUGCAUAAGCGAGUUUAACUUGUGGAAAAAUUAUUUCGUUUUUUUCUUCUGCAAGUGUUCACAAAGAAGUUUAUCCAAAAGACCCUUUAGACAAUAUAGACCAAUUAUUCAAAAGUAAAAUGGCAAGCAUUAAGGGGAAACAAUACAACUUGAUGCUCUAGAAAAGAGAAAAACAGUUUUGCCUAAAAGAGUGCAGAUACUUUCAUCCUUUCUUAUGUUACUAACUACAAGUCAAACACUCAAAAUUCAAACCCUACUUAACACUAAUCUUAGAUAAAGACAUAAGCCAAGAAAUCCACAAGCAGUAGUCACAUAGAUCAUUUUUAAACAUAGCAUAUAUCCUAUGACAAUUAUAAAUAAGAGUCUCUGUUGUGGAAUCAAGACACAUGGAUUCAUUUACAUGUUUGCUUGAAUUUCCAACAUUUUAUGGCAUCUGCAUAAAAUCAUGACUGGGCUUCUUAUUUUGUCUGUGGUUUUAUCUGCUGCCACCUUUCUUUUUUACAGACCACACUCCAAAGCCCUACACAGUGUUUGUACAAACUACAAAGGCAGUAGGAUGAUUGUGGAAAAGACGUUGAAAAAACAGAUCUACCAAAAGCAGCAUGAGUACGAUGGAAACUGAAGGGAAUGACCUAACUUGACUUGCAGCACCCAAGCACAGUUUUGACCAAGCCUAAAUCAGAGAGAAUCACUAGGAUGUUGAAAAGGAAACUAUUUUCUAAUGGGUCAAGACUAACUCAUUAUAUAAAAAGGAAUAAGGUAAUGAAAAAGGAAAAUUUUGAGUCUAUCCUAAAAGGUCAAAUUUAAAGGGAACCAAGCCUUAAGGUCAGUUUACUAUAUAUCGAGUCACAAUUGAAAUAGAGGAACACUUUACUAAUGAAUGAAUUAAUUUUAGGAUUUCACUUCUGGAGACGAGUCUCGGGAUAUAUUGCAAUGCUAGAAAUUCUUUCUUGAGUUAAGAGGACAAGACCCAAUUUAUUAAAGAGGGAGGCAAAAAAUUUUAGGGAGAGCAAUGGUGUGGCUUGUAGGUAUAAAACAGAAGGUUCUUAGCAAUGCUACAUGUGACUAAGGCUCUUAGUAUGGGAGAGGUUGGAGAUGGUUCGGUAACACCCCUUAUUGCCAACAAUAGUGAUGAAGGGACUCAUAUAGCCUUAGCCAACAAAAAAACCACACAAAGAAACUUGACCCACAGCAGAAAGCUGGCACACAAAUAUAUGAUCCAUUCAAACUAGGAAAACUCAGAUCCUAACUACCAUAAGCAAUACACCACUUAGUCAUUGGGACUCCAUACCAAGUCAAGAAGUCAAGAAGCAACAAUACCAGAAGAAAUGGUUUUGGAUUACAUCACUUCACAAAUGCUACCAACAUAACAUUAAGAUAAACUCUGACCAAAUGAAAACAGAACGAAGUAAGACCGAAAAAAGGGAUUAGAUUUCAAGGAUAUAUGGUUCCUUUCAUAUUGGGGCCACUGGACCAAAUAUUCUAUACACAAACAAUCUCAAUGAAAGUGAGAAAAUAAUGUGUAUAUAUGGCAUACGUGAUAGAAAAUAAUUGAAAGCAUUAAUUAAUACUGUGGGUAUACAUUUCAGAUAGUAGACAAGCUUAAAGAUAAAUCUAAAAUGAAGACCGACAAAACUUACAUUUCAGAAAAUAUUGAGAUUAUCAAUUGCAUAUGGGUUUACUGAAAAAGCACCUAUCAUAGAAACAAGAAGAGGAGCUUGACUUGCAAUAUAAAAAUAACUUUUGACAUUGAAGGAUGCCUUUUUUUAGCAAGUAUCCUGCAGAGAUAACACACAGGUAGCAAUUAACACAACUAGGGAUUACAAAGAAAAACAGAGGCACUAAGCUCAACAUCAGUUCAACUAAAAAAAGUAUGCUUAGAAGGGAAACACAAUUAGCAUUAGGGCUAGACGUUUUGGGAAUAAAAAAUGACUUAAAAAGCAAGGCUAAACUUGACAUUUGGCUCGUUUAUGAAUAUGUCACUGUACAGGAAAGUGACACAAAAAAAGCCUUAAAGUUUAAUUCCUAUUAAGGUAUAUAGGAACUAGAACUAACGAUUUUAGGGCCAGGACUUGAGAAGCACAGAAAAACAGGGACCAAUGUGUACUAAUAUGAGUGUAUCGAGUUUAGGGUUUAUGGUUUAAUAUAUUAGUAUUGUGCACUAAUAUGAGUGUAUGAGGAUCAAAACUUAAGUUUUCUCCAUGCAUGAUUGGAUUCUUAAUCGAGUAUUAACCUAAGUAGAUUAGGGACCAAAUUUCUACCAAACAAAGGCCAAUUAAAGUUAGAAAAAAACAGAUAGAAAGUGUUUCUAUUUUCUUUGCACUUUCCUGAUAAAUAUUCAUUUGAUGACCAUAUCUAAGGUUGGAGAAAGUGAAAUAAUUAGAACUAAACCCUACAUAGUCAUCCCCAAUCUUAGACAAUCAUUUUAUCUUCUCUUCUUUUGAUCAUUUAAGGCUGAUGUUCAUAAGUUUUAUAAUGUCCCUCAUUCCCAUUUUCUGCAAGGCCAUAAAAGAUUGCUUAAAUUGGCCUCAAUGUCUAAAAGUAAAAGAAGUAAGUUGCUUUGAAGCAAUUUAAAAGGCACAUAUGUACUCUCACAUUCAAAAGGCUACAAUUAAGAGCACUAAAACACAUUCACUUCUUAAAUAGAACCUGUUUAUGUAAAAGAUAAUAUGACCAGACACUAAAUUUCAUGUGGCCUCUAGAUACCCAUAAAGCUAAUAGUCAUUCAAGGGAUCAUCAAACUUAUGUAAAAACCAUAAAAGCAUCAGUUUAUAAAACAAUUGAACAAAUGGUGAAGCUUCCCAAAGAACAAUCAUAUUUGAGACUUCAAAGAUAGGAACUAACAAUAAAAUAAAUACAAAAGAAAUAUUAUUAUACAUUAAAUCAUUUACAAAAGUCACCCUCAACUUAAGUAAAGGAAACACAAGUUUGAAACUUACUUGAACAUACAAACAGCACCGUUCAUCUUAGAUGCAUGUUGGAAAGGAAAUCCGACAACCUGAAAGCAUCAUGUUUUAUGUUAGUGAAUGAAAAAAAAAGGAGGAACAUAGCAAGGUUAAGGUCAGAGAUAAUGAGAAGGAAAAGCGCAACCUGAUAUCUUUUGCAAUUACGGUAUUUCCAUCUGCAGCACCUAGAUGUCGCAAUACUACCUGCUCCACACGGCCAUCUCGAUAUGCAUGCUGCAAUUAAAGAUUUAAAAAACCAAUCUCCAGUCAAAUUUUGCAAAUAGAUACCUCAAAACACAAUUCAAACCCCAAACCACAAUCUAGACAUCACAAUUCAACACAAGGUAGGGGAAUUGAAGCUGUAUGCUUGAAAAUACUAAUAGACCUCGAUACCAGAAACGUAGAAGUAAGUUGCACCAUUGUUUCUAAUGCAACAAAUUCUAUAGUGUAUAAAAAACCAUAUAUAUUAUGGCACAAACAAAAGAUAUUUAUUAAGUGUUUAUUAGGAAAAUAGAAAAAUGGCUGGCAGAGGGAGAGGUUGUUAAAAUAGAACUAGAUAAAUCCACUAAAUUACCUUGUAGAAACAACUAGAUCCAAAAGGGCAGUUACCAUCCCCAAAGUCAAAGUGCUUGCAGUCAAUUGACCUACAAAAGAAAUUAAACAAUUACCAACUGUGUAGCAUAAAAGAUAUAGUCAUUAACUAUUUCACUCAGCUGAGCUUUUUUUUUUUUCCAUGUUGUGAAAUAUAUGAUAUAUUGCUCGCCAUCAGCUGCACUCGCACAAGCAAAUCAAUAUAAAGAAGGGGCAAAGGAAACGGGUAGUCCCGCAUCAAUAAGACAGCAUACAUCGGUGAACCAAAGUUAAAACUCUCUGCGCUUCAAUUGUAAUCAGAUCAUGAAUUAAUUGGAUAGAAAAAGAAAAAGAAGUCAUAAGAGUUUGUGAGAGAUCAAGAAAUUACUUGAGCUUUUCCUUGUAUUUGUCAAUGAUUUCUUGUUUCUCUUCAGUUGUUGAGUACCAAACGACACUUGGAAUGACAAAAUACGAUAACUUACGACAAAUAGGACAAGCCCUCAAUGUACUAUUAACAUCCAUCCCCAAUGUUGGGUUACUACUACGCCAAUUCCUAAUACAGGAUAUGCAAAAUGGAUGAUCACAUUCGGAUAGCAGCCCAAACUUGCGUUCGGCUAAUAUAGGCUUUGACAGAACACGCUCAAGGCAAACACUGCAUUCAAUUUCUUGACUUCGUUUCAGUGCAUCAAGAUACUUAUGCCUACUUUCACAAGUCUUCAUAUGCUCUUCUCUUUCCUCAGGUCGGAAAGGAUGUAGGCAAUGCUUUCCACAGGUGGGACACAGAUCCCCAUGAAUAUGAGGACAUUGUUCCCCUCGUGGACAGUUGCCAGCAGCAGCAAAUGAACAGAUUGAAAGCUCAGAAGGUGAAGUGAUUAUGGAUUGACCAACAUUGUCUUCCCCUAAAAUUUCAUAAUACUCAAUUUCUGGAUUCCAAACCAGUUCAUGAUUCCAAGCCGGUUCACUAGGAAGAAUGUACGGACUACUGGAAAGAGACAACUCUGCAGCCGUACCAACACCAUUUGAAGUAGUUAUAAUAUUUCCGAAAGCACCGGUAUCUGAAACCAGAGUAUGGUGUUCAAUUGCUGAAGAAGAUGGAAUGGAAGAUUGCGCUUGAGAAGCUUUGAUGUGAUCAUAUCUGCAGCGACUACCAUAAGCACAGACUCCUUUCUGAUAAAAUGUGCAUAUCUGUCAUAACAAGACAGCAAGCAGAAAUUAUAAGAGAAAUGUACAUCAAUAAUAAUCAAUUAGGUGGGUCUGCAGCAAAGAAGAGUUUGCAUCACCAACAUUAUUUGGAGGAUCUUUCCAGUCAUGAGAAUAUUCACAAUGCUCCCCUUUCAGACAGGCUCCAUGAGCAAAGAACUUACAAAGAACCCUACAAAAUUCAGAAGACAAGAAAGAAAUUGCAAAAAUUAUAAUAAUCUUCAAGUUGCAUAAAAAAGGAGAGAGAAAAGGCCCACACAAGACUUAUCCUGUGUAUCAAAAACUAAGGUCCCCAAUGAAAAUCUUUCAUUCAAAUUUCCACAAAGGUAAACAAAAGGAAGGAUUCAAAUUAUUUCAGAGUUAAAAAGCUUCCAGUGCCAACUACAAUCCACAAAAAAGAUAGCAAUGACAAAUAUCAUUCUUCUACCUACUACAGAAAUCAACAUUGUUAUGGCAUCCAGGAGCGGUUUACGGUCCGUCAUGACCAUAGAAAUCUAUGUUACGAAUAAUGAUACGCUAAAAAUUAUAACGUGAUUGAGUUCCCAAUAACAAAAAGUUAUCCGAAUCGAAUCGAAUCAAAUAACGAUUUUCUAAAGUCAAUAACAAACGGGGGCAACAAAGAAGCUAGCAACUUUCAACCACCCUUUUUCUUCUGAAUUCUGAUGAACGAACGGCACACACCACCAGAUAGAAAACAAAAUAAUCUGAAUCGGGUUUAAACAUAAAAUAAAUAAAUAAAAUAACCACGAUUAUAAUAACACAAAUAGCAUAAACAUACAGAAGUCAAUCAAGAAUCAACAGAAAUUGAAGAAUGAACAGAACAAAAGACAGAAAACCCACAUCAAGAAAAGUCAAUCAACCAUGGGAAAAAGCAGGAUGGUGAGGCUCACCUCUUAGACAUGGCAGUUAUUGAAAAGAAUGAAAUAUCCUUAAAUUAAGCGAGAGUUGUUGAGAGAAUCAAAACCCUAAACCUCCAAAGGGAUUAUUGGAUGAAGAAAGUGGUAAACAAGAAAAGGGGGCAACCAAAAACGUGAAGGAGGUAACACGUGGGGCUUUGCAGCCACUCAAAUUAAGAAAAGAUUGAGAGCACAAGAGAAACGGUGGUGGUUAAGGUUGGAUGGAUGGUGGCAAUGAGAUAUUAAUAAUAAUAAUAGGAAUAGAAAUAGAAGGGAAGAUUGGAAAUUGGAUUUGGAUUUGGAUGGUAAAAAUUAUGGGAGAGAAAAGUAAGAACACAAUGUUACAGCUUGCUUCCCUCUGUUCAAAACUUCCUAAACUCUCACUUCUCUAUCACGUGUACGUGAGUUUGCUUUCUCCUAUGAACACGUGUUCUCUCCCACAUUGUUCCCACAACAUACAUGAAUCAAUACAUUCAUCUUUUCUUUGUUUAUCACACAUAUCAAUUUUGUUAACUCAAUUUGUUAUUCGAAAAAUGUUGCAAAAAAUAUGGACAAUUCUUAGGGUUACGCUUGAAUGGGAUGAAUUAGAUAUGUUGAAUUAGGUAAAAUAGCUAACACAUACAAUCCAAUUUGUAUUAUUUUUCAAUUUAAAUAUUUAAGUUUGUGUUUGGAUUAAAAAAUGAAUUAAAUUAACUGAAAAUAAAUAGAUUUAAAAGAAAAGAGAAAUAAAAGUAGAGUUAUUUAGAGUAUUAAAUAAAAUUUUAUUACGUGAGAAUUUAGAAAAAGUACGUCACAAUUUAGUUUCAAUUAUUUUAAUCAUAAAAUAUUUUUAUAUAAAUUGAAAAUUUACAAAGAGAAAAUGUUUUACUUUUUAAAACUUUUUGAAGUUUUUUCUUUUUCUAAGAUAUUUUAGUAUUUUUUUUAAGAAAGAAGAUAAUAUGAUUUUUGUUUGUGGAAAACUCGUUAAGAUCAAUAAGUUGAUUUCUUUUUUUUUUUUUAGCUAAGUUUAGUUUUUAACCUAGUUUCAUUGUCUUCUCUAUGUUAUCUAGUUGAAUGAGGGUUCUAUGCUUGCAUGUAUCUUUGCUUUGUGUUUCUUGAAUCUUUAUUGAUCAACGAUUUUAUUGGCAUAGUUAGAUCGUUUAGAUGUUGUCUCUAGGUGAAGAAGGGGUAUACUUUGUGAAUUAGACAACAUUUUGACUUGUUAAGUCGUGAUGAGCAUGGUCAAGGUAAGGAAAGCUAGUAGCUUUAGUGUGAGUGAGUUUGAAAAAUCUAAUGUUUUUGCACAUUGAUUGACUUUGAUGGGUGUAUGCCUGAAUUGAAUUGUACGAUUUUGAGGAUUUAUUUAUGUUUGAUUGUUUUUAGGGUUUGUGUGAGUGAGAGAACUUAAGAUCUGAGCAAUUAAAUAAAUUUGUAUAAGUUUUAAUGUGUAAAAACUCUUUUGAACCAACUUACUGAGAAAGGAAUUGGAGCAAUUGAUUAAGUCCAAGUUCACUUGAAAUCAUAAAACUGAUAUAACACUAAGUGGUGCUAUAUUGGCGCUAAGUGUCAACUUCAUUAAGGCUGUGUUCACUUGGGGGGUGAUCCGAGGUGAUUGGAGGAGAGUGAUUGAGUGGAUUUGAAGAUAAUAUUUUUUGUUGUUUAUUUGAGUGAAUUUGGAGGUAAACGAAAGUGGAUUUUGAAGUAAAUUUUUUUAAUCUGUCAUAUAAACUAAAUCCUACACCAAUUCUCACAAAAUUUAUUUCAAAAUUCACUCAAAUAAACAGUAAAAAAAAUUACCCUCAAAUCCACCCAAUCACUCUCCUCCAAUCACCUCCUGUCACUCUCAAGUGAACACACCCUAAAAAAUUGUUUGGCUUAAAGCAAUUGUUUAAAGAAUUACAAUUUGGAGAUGUCUUAUAAGUUUGCUCUCCACAUCGAUUUUAAUAGUCUUUCAUGAAAAGAUCAAAUACAUUGAAAUUGACUAUCAUUUCGUUCGAAAAAAAUAUAUCUAAAAUCAUCAAGACUAAAUUCAUUAACUCAAAUAAUUAGUUAGUAAAUAUUUUUACUUAGUUUUUAAAAGAACCAAAAAUUGAUUAUAUUUAUAACAAGUUUAAUAAAUAUAGUUUACAUAUAUUAUUGAAAGAAAGUGUUAAAUGUAUUACAUUUUAUGUUAAUUAGAAAAACAUAGACUUAUUGAUAUUAUUUUAUAUUAGUAGAUGUUGAUAUUAUUUUUAACAAUAUCUUUUAUUUACCAUAUUUAUUUUUAGUUAUUAUAUAUAUUUGUAUAAUUUUUCAUUACAAAUAUAUUAUCAUAUGUGUGUUUUAAACACAAGAAAAAUUAAUUUCAUAUAUUGUUUUUCACUAUAUUUAACAUAACCAAAAUACUGCAGUGAUGCAGAUGACAAGACCAAGAAUAUCAAGCCAUAUUUUUCAUACUAGAGCAAUCGCAGUUCAAAGUACAAUGAGACAGGACUUAGCAGACCCUCAAGCCAAAACUAUUUGAAUAUGGUCAUAUCAGAAAAUAUACAAAAUGGCAUAUGAUCACGAAUACCAGGUAUAGACAUGAGUAAUAGCAUACCAAAAACUAGAAUAUAUCUCGGAGUUUCUUCAUAAAUGAUUUUCAAGAACAAAUGAUAGGGCACCAUACAGCCAAAGGAACCUCAUUAAGGAACUAUGUAAUUCUAGUAGUACUCAUCACUGUAUUCUUCUUCAUCUUCAUCUAUGUCAGAAUGCAUCAUCAUGGAUAACAAGGCAGCCUCCAUAGGAUUGAACUCUUCAUCAUCAAAAUCUUCAAGACCAAAAUCGUCCACACCAGAAACCAGUGCUUCUGACAAUGCAGCCAUCUGAAAAAAAUCUACCCCUUCUUCAUCAGAAUCAAAAGGGCCCAAACAAAGAUCUGAUUCACCAGCAAGCCUAUCAGAUAUAUCUAUGAUCCCAAAUGGAUCCAUAUCGUCGAAAAGAUCCGAGUCCCUCAUGAUAGAAAGAUAUUCAGCACUAGUUAAAUCAACAUCGCUGAGCAUGUCCAACAUCUCAUUCAUGUUAAGAUUGUUUUGUCUCCGCUGUGGUGGUGGUGGUGGCCUGUGAUGUAUCCAUGUGUACGAGCCAGGCUUCACAGUGUGCUGAAAGUAACAGAUAUCAGAAUUAUUAGAGAUAUAAAAUUUACAAAUAUAAGCUAUGUAAAGGACUAAAGAUAAAUAAAGCAUGGCCCAAAAAUCCAGAUUUACAAGUAUCCAAAUGUGAAUAGUAUUUCUCUUUGUACUAGCCUAUCCUUAAGUUUGAAACAAGACAGCCUAAUUUUAGAAACAUGGGACUGAAACAAACCACAGCUCCUGAUCUAGCAUGGAUCCAAAUCACAGUUCAUGGUCUUUUCCAUUACAACAAAUAAUCUUUGUUUAUUAAUUAUAAAUUGUAAAUUAAUAAAAGAUAAUGCAUAACAAAAAAUGUAGUACAUAAACUACGUAGUUCGUAUGGUAGUAGCUAAUAUUGUUGCAGAAGUAAUUCAUAUUAGUAAAAUAAAAUAAAAAAAGUAUUGUGACACAAACACCACUUAGUUUGCAUAAUGGCACAAAACUUUAACAUUUAUUGUUAACCCAAACCCCAAAGUUAAAAAAUAAACACCGGAACUGUCAAAGCAAAUCCCCAGUUCUUUCAACUUUAAUUAUCAUAACCAGGUUUGGCAAAAUCAAGACCCUACCUAAGUUUAAUGGGGUGAAAAGUGUAGAUUGUGGAAUCGUAAAAUGUUAAGAGUAUAACAGAAACUAGGAUAACAAUGUAACCAAUACGUGAAAUAAAUCCACCAAUAUUCAAUAAUCUACACAUUCAUUAUGUAGUUAUUUAAUCAUCAAUAUCUUAAUUUCUAUUUUAUUACAUAAUUGUUAUCAAAGAAGGGUGGGUGUGAAGAAAGAUAGAAAGAGAAACCAAAAGUUAGAGCCUAAGAGGGCUAUUUCAAAGGCAAAGAACAAGCCCAACUUAUCAACUUCAGAAGCCAAUCCAAAUAGAAAGGUAAGAUGAGCCACACAAACUAAGGAGACCACAGAGAGAGACAUGAGAAGUAAAAAGAAAAGGGGUAUUAAAAACAAAAACAGAAUGCAUGUAAAGAACAAAGAAACGUGGUGUCACUUUUUAUAACCAAAUGGAUAGUCAGCCCAAAUAUGAUUACUUAUACCACUAAAAUCAAAUUUGACAUCUAAUUAAUAUCUAAUAGCAAUAUAAUAAAUAUUAAUUAAGUGAAAGGAGAAAUAUGGUAGAAUGCUAUUCACUGUUCAAAAAGUGAUGUUACUAAUUAAUUAAGAAUGGUAAUCAAAUUUGCCCAAGGAAUUUAUUAAAGCAAGCAAAUGACAAAAGAGAUAGUAAUUUGGGUACCUUGUAGAAACAACAAGCCCCAAAGGGACAAUUCCCGUUUCCGAAGUUAAAAUGCUUGCAAUCAAUUUGUCUGAAAAAGAAAACAAACAUCAAACCAUUCAAUCCCUUAAUAAAAAUACUGUCUUGGAUGGAUAUCUUUAGUAAUAAGAUUUUCAACUAAAUAGAUGAAAUCUGAAUACAGUACCCUCAUCAAUAGAGCCAUGCGAAGAGUGAACAAUCAACACAAAAUAUUGGAACACAAUGCAUGUAUGAUUUUUUUAUGUACUUUUGGGAGUGUUUUAUUGUUGUGUGGUGUAGACGGGGUUUGGGAAUACGAGUGGGGAUAUAGUAAUGAGAAAAGGAGGGAAUUAUUUUCCAAACCAACCACCAUCUCCAACAACUUUGAUUAAUUAAUUAUAAUACAAAAAUAAAUUCAAAAUCAUCAGUUAUCAAGUAACAAUACAAUUUAGUGAAAGUGAAGGGGGUGUUGAGUAGAGAAGAAAUUACUUGCAGUUUGCCUUGUAGUUAUCAAUAAUUUCUUGUUUUUCUUCCUUAGUAGAAUACCAAAUACCACUUGGAAUGACAAAAUAUGAUAGUUUGCGACAAACAGGACAUUUUCUCACUGUAUUAGCAGUUCCGUUAUUACUCAUGUCCAUUCCAGAGGUUGGGGCACUAUUACGCCAAUUGCGGAUACAGGAUAAACAAAAAGCAUGGUCACAUUGAGGAAGCAGCCCAAACUUACAAUCAGAUGGUUUAGGCUUGGAAAGAACACGCUCCAAACAGACAUUGCAUUCUACUUCUUGACUAUCAUUCAAAGCCUGAAGGUAUUUUUCCCUUUUCUCACAAGUUGCCAAAUGAUUUUCUCUUUCCUCACUGUCAGUAGGAUGUAAGCAAAAUUUUCUACAGUAAAAACAUCGAUUUCCAUGAACACGAGAACAUUUAUUUCCAAGGGGGCAGUUGGCAGCAGCAAAUGAACAAAACAAAAGUCCAGAUGUUGCACCACUAGAACUGGAUUGACCAACAUCAUUUCCAGAAGAGACCAGAUUCUUAUGUUGUGAACUCCUUGCACACUUGUCUGAUGAAGAUGACUUUGAAACCUUUAUAACACAACUCGAUGCCCCUUUGGUGGUUUGAUUCAGCACAGAAUCUGAAACAGGAGGAUGACGUCCGUUUGAUGAAGACGAAGACGACGCUUCAUAAGCUUUGACAUGUUUAUAUCUGCAUCUACUGCCAUAAGCACAUACUCCUUUUUGAUAAUAGGUACAUAUCUGUGUUUAACAUAAGAAACAAAAGAGUAGGAAAGUCGAUAAAAAGAUUUAUCUGUGGGGUCCAAACACAGUACAAGAUAAUCAGAAUGAGUUACAACUUACAUUAGAACUUACACCAUCCUUUCUCUCAUGAACAAAAUCACAUUGAUCCCCUUUCAAACACGCUCCACGGGCAUAGAACUUGCAAACCCUAAGACAAAAAAUUAUUUCAAAACAACUUAUAAAUGAGUAAGAAUGUUAUCAAGGGUCUACAAAAAUUCAACAUAAAAAUUCAAUAAGCAAGUAAACUCCUAAAUUGGUUAAUUAAGAAAUCACAAAGUCUCAACAAAAAUUACACACAUCAAUACAAAUCAAAACGAACACACAAUUUCCAAGUCAAAAAAUCAACCUUUAGAAUAUUACACACCAACAAUCCAAACCACCUUAAGAGAAAACUGAUCAAAAUAUUGUAUUUUAAACAAACAAGUAUUUUUCAAUCAGUAAAACAGGAAACGAGAAAGAGACACAAGAACAUGGUCCAUACAAUCCACCACUUGGCGUUUGAACAAAUAAAGAGUAGUGCCAAAUAUCAAUUAUCCCGCCACACCAACAACAAAACCCUUUUUCUUUUCUUUCUGACCUUUCUAUUGUUCGAACCAGAUAAAAGAUAAAACAAAAGGCAAAAUCGAGAAGAGAGUCAUGGUAAAAAAAAAUUCAAGAAUCAGAUAAAAGAGAUCGACGAGAGAAUGAAGGAACCGAAAAGAAGAAAAGAGGGUGAGACAUUCACCUGUUGGACAUGACGAUGGAGUGGGAAUUGAGGAAUUGGAACGGAAGAAAAGGGGAAUAAAAGACAAAAUGUGACGGUGAAAACCUAAGUGCGAUCCAUUUGAACCGGGUACGAGGGUUUUUUUGGCGGUGUCGGGGUCCGUUAAAUUGCAAAAUCUACGGUUAUGCGAAUGUGUUUCAAAGGAGCAAUUUAAUUUCUUUUUAAAACAGACAAUUUUUCAUAAGUCUUACCUGGAACAGUUUUACACUGUUGAUACAUCGCACAUAAUUUUCUUAUAAUUAUAUACUUAUAUGUUUAUAAUUAAGUUUCGAAUAAAAUUAUAUAUUUAAAAAUUAAUAUAUUUAUACAAAUAUAAAUAAUAGAUUUUGUAAAAAUAAAAAAGAUAUAAUAUACACAUAAACAAAUAGUGUAGAUCUUCUAAAAAUAUAAAAAAUAUUCAGAAAUAUGUAAAGUUUUUAUUGCAGAUAUAAAUUAGUAUAUUAACAUUAUAUAAAUAUAAAUGAUUAGAUUCCUCUAAUCAAUUAAUUGGAAAACUCGUUAAUAUUUGUUAAACUCAAUAUAUACUAUCAAACUCAUACUCAUGUAAUCAAUAUAUAAUAUACAGAUAUUGUCAUGUUUUUAAAUUUAAUUUUAUUAAUGACCAAAUAAUUAUAAAUGAUAAAAAGAUAAAAUUAAAAAUAAAAAAAUAAUAUAAAAACUUUAUACUUUAAAAGUAAGUUAUUCUUUAAUAAAAAAAUGGUAUAGGAAAAUUAGUUUAAAAAUAAAAUAAAUGAAUAAAAAGGUAAAAUAAAUUUAACAAAAUAAAAAAUAAAUUAAAAAAUAAAAUAAUUUGAUAAAAGAAUAAAAUAACUUCCAUACGAUAAAAAAAUAAAUAUAAAUGAAUCUUGUGAAGGAUUAAAGUAUCUCAUUAUCAUCAAAGGGUACAAUAAUAAAAAUGAUGAUGAUGUGUCACUACUAUAGGAAUUAUAACAACAAUGAUAGAACCUAUGGUGAUUGCUAUGUCAAUAAUGUGAUAGUAUACAUGAUGACACAAGAAAACCUUCAUUGGGACAUAGGGACCUGGUCCCCUGAUUUUUUUUUUUUAUAUUUAUAUAAAUUAAUAUAUAAUUUAAACUAUUUUUUAAAAAAAUAAAUAUUUUUAAUAUAGUUAAUAUAUUUUGCAUCUUUAAAGUUUUUUAUAUAUUUAUAUAAAAUUUUUGACAUUUUAAAAAAUAUUUGUUAACUAUCCAUUACUAAAAACAACAUAAGUAAUUACACUGAUUAUGAUAAUAAUGAUAAUAUAAUAAAACUUGUUUUGAUGGAAAUAUCUUCUCUUUCUCUUAGAAUUCUUGGUUGGUUAUUAAUGUUUCUAUUUAUAAAUGUAUCCAUAAUUGAUUAUUUUAGUAAUAAAAGCUCAUGAUAUAUUAUAAAGUGUACUACUAUAGCCAAUAAGUCAAAUGUAGAGUUUUACUUCAGAAUAUGUAAUGUAAUUAAUAGAAUAUAAAUUGUAAAUGGAAAAUGUUAUAUUUAAUCACUAAUAAAAAAAUAUCAUAUAAUAUGGUGUUUUUCAGUCUUUCAUGUCGAAUUCGAAACCUCAAUAAUGAUUUGUAAUAAGAGAUUUAUAUGGAACAAUCUCUUAGAUUUAUUGUUCAAGGAUCUCUUUUGGGUUGAUAUUUCAUCUUUUAUGUCAUAUUUGUAAAUAAUUAACAAUUUGGUGUCAAUCAAAUAGAGAAACACAUAUUUUUACUAGUCUUUAUUGAUUAUAUUAUUAACAAGCUUGGUACAUACGAUUGGUAUGCACCGACUUGAAGGGAAAUAUUAGAUAUAUUAUUUUUUAUAUUAUCUUUUAUUUUUAGUUAUUUUAUUAUUAUUCUUUAUUUAUAUUUUGCGCUUAGCUCAUAUAUCUUCUAUUAUAAAUAGAGUACCUUGUGUGUAUAUUCAACACGUGUGAGAUUAAUUCCAUAUAUAGUUUAUUCAAUAGAAGGAAAGAAAUUAAGAUUAAACUUGUUUAGUAAGAAAAGAAGAAAAUGAAAGCAAGUCUUUUAGGGUAAAAAAACACCAUACUAACUAGUAGCUAAAUCUAAAAUUGUAAUAAAAUAAAAAAUUAAAAUGCAAUGCAAUUAUUUAAACAAGUUUUGGAUUGUAAAAGAGAUCUAUAAAUAAAACCAAAAACUACAAAUCUAUAAAAACUCAAAAACUCAUUAGUGAAGCCUAAAAAUGUGCUAAAAUGAAUAAGGAUGCAAAAUAUGACUAUGUGGACCUAGAAAAAACUUAAAACAACACAAUAGAACAAUGAAAAAGGUAAAAACAUAACAAAUUUUAAGCUAUACUCGAAACAACAAAAGAGAUUCUACUAAAACCAAUUCAUAAAAUUUAAAGUAGUAAAAUAAAAUUAAAAUCAGGUUAACUAGUAGAAAUUAUAAAGGAACCCAAAUUUAUCAUGUGCACUACUUUUAUUUGGUAAAGACAAGACAAAAAAAACUAGAUGUCAAAAUUAAACUCUACUAACUAUUUGGGAUCUUUGAAAUCAAACUGCAACCAUAAGAGCAAUCUAAAGUGAUGUUAUUAUUGAGAAACAAAUCACAGCAAUUUAAAGAUGUAGCAAUUGUUAAGAAACAACCAAAAACAGUAUUUCAAGUCAAAAAAGGACUCAUUUGAUACAUUUUUUAUAACUUAGGGACCAAAGAUUUACAUUUUUAAAAACGGGAACUAAACUGAACAUCCGCUUAUAACUUAGGAACCAAAAAAAAGUUUAAAUCAUUUAAGUCUUACACUUAAAUUAAAGAUAAUUGAAUAAAAAAUGUAAUACAAAAAGAAUCAACUUAGUUGGAUAACUAUAAAGAAAGUUAUAAACCAAACAAAUAACAAAAGGUUAAAUCUUUUAGCAUUUAAAAUCUAACUAUUCUCUAUAAAUUUACAUAAUUAAAUAUCAAGUUAAGCAAGAAAUAUCAGCACUACAACACUAAAAGAAAAUGGAAAUGAAACUACCUAUACGAGUUCUAAAUAACAUAACAAAAUGCAAGAAAAGUGAAUGCAACUCAAAACAACUAAUCUAAAAUUCAACUAUGCAAACAAAAAAAUGCCCUACUACACAAAAUAAAGCAGAGUCAGAUCAUUACUAUAAUCAUAAAUUAACUAUUUAGAUGGAACCUAAUUCAAUAAAAUAAAAGAUGUAGUAAAAAUCUUGAAUGCAAGUAAAAAUAGAACCAAUAUGCAACUUUAAUAGAAUAGUCUUGAAAUCUUGAACUACAAUGUUGUCUGCCACUUUAAUGAACAUGUGUUAGCAAAAACCAAAAUUAAAACUAGAAUUAGUUAGAAUCAUUAGUUAUUAAUUUAUAUUUGUAAAACAAAAUGAUAAUAAUGUAAGAAGAGUAAGUGCAAGAAUUAGUAAAGAUAGCUAAAUCUGUUAGUCAAAACUAAUUAGGACAAUAAGAAUUAGUAGUGGACUAAACUAAUCAAUUUAUCAAUUUGAAACAUCAUUAUUGCACAUACUCUAAUUCUUAGAUACUAAAAACAACAAAAGAAUGAAUUGAUCAAGUUUACAAUAUAAAAAUAAAAUUCAAAACAAGAUUUAAUCAUUCAUGCUAGAAGGAAAACUAUAGGUUUAAACCCUUUUUGUUCCCUAAAUUAAGUUCUGAUAUUCAGUUUAGUCUCCGCUUUUAAAAAUGUCAAUUUUUUAUGAUAUAAAAAAUAUAUCAAAUCAGUCCUAUUCGUUAACAAAUCACAAGUUUUUCAUUAAGUGAUUUGUUGUUCAUAACACCUUCUGAUAACAAAUCACAAAAUAUUGGAUACCCAGGUAUGGAAACUUGUGAUUUAUUAUUCAUUAAGUGUUGUUAUGAGGACUGAUUUGAUACAUUUUUCAUAUCAUAGGGACUAAAGGUUGACAUUUUUAAAAGCGGAGACUAAACUGAACAUCAAAACUUAACUUAAGGACCAAAAAAGAGUUUAAACCAAAACUAUAACUAGAAACCAACAUAGUGAAAGAAACUACAAUAACUAAUAAGCUUAAUCUUAAUGAAAGAAAACUAAUAAAAUAGUUAUUAAUAACUUAAAACAACAAAACAAUAUAAAUUUCACUCCUAAAACCUGAAACCAUACACUAAAGCAUAACAAGCAAUACUCUUACUACCUAAAGUCAAUGGAGAGAACAAGACCACGUGAUAGCGACGACAUCGAAUAUACCCCACGACGGAAACGACAACGACACCACAACACCACACCCAAAACCCUCGUGAACAAUGUUUAAUGACAAACACUCGUGAACACCCAAACACUAUCAUGAUUGUAGUGACAACAAACACGAAAAGCAAUGAGAACAAGAAGGAAUUUGGCAAUGACGAGAAGGAGGAGAGCGAAUGAGACAAAAUGAGAACACAAACUCAUUAAAGAAGAGAUAAGGGAGAGCUCGAAAUGAUUAAUGCAGAAAAAAAUGAGGUAAGCUGUGAAAGCUGUGAAGAAGAAUUAAACAUUCUAUACCGGUCAAAGUGACAAACCAAUGUAAAAAAGUCAUUUUCUAUACAAAUUCUAAAUCUAACUGGUGUAAAAAACUUUAUAAUUGAUUAUAAUUUUACCACUGCAUCACUUCCUAUACUGAUUCUAAGUCAAACUGUAUGGAUCUAAAACCAAUAUAAAAAGUCUUAUAAUAUUUAAAUUGUAUUACUGUACGUAAUACUUUUUAUUCCGAUUACCUGAUAAAUUAUAACUAAUAUAAAAGUAAAAAAAAAGAAAGUGUAUUUUCAACAGUGAUAUAUUAUAUUUUACUUUUAACUUGUUAACUAUUUAUAAGCAUAAAGUUGAUUAUGCACAUGUGUUAUUUCUUGCUCCUUUCAUUUUGACGUUGAUCAAAUAGCUACCAAUCAUUCAAUACAUUGACUAACAUACAUAAAUUUGUUUUCAAACUACCCUAAUCUACCAUAACAUUAAAUUUGUGAUUGAAUUUGAAGAUGAAUAUGGGAAAAGAGAUUUGAGGAAAAAGAAAUGGGUAUGUUAGAUUGUUUGGAUUUAAGGGGGAGAUGAUACAAAAAAUGAAGAGAAACGAGACUAUGAAAGUUAGUGAAUAAUAUAUUAAGUUGAACAGAUUAAAAUAAUGUUUUAAUUGAUAAAAUUGAAUAAAUACAAUUUUAGCAAUGAUCAUAAAAUUAAUUAGGGUAAAUUAUAAUAAAAAUAAAAUGUGAGUUAUUACUUAAAAUAAAAAAGUAAAAAACUAUGAAACUAUAUUGAAAUAAAAUGAGAUUAAUAAAAAUUAAGUUGAAAUAAAUUAGUUUAAAUAAAAUUAAAUAAUAACUUUAAUCGAAGAAAUUAUUUCAUUUCAUGUAUAUUUUAUUUAUAUUAUAUAAUAUAUAAAAAAUCGAAAUCAGUUCUUUUAUAUACAUCUGAAAGAUCGAUUCUCGCACCUCCGGCGUCACAUGCUGUCCAAAAUCUAUUUCUGUUGUGCAUUAUUAGCUCACCAAGACACACUCCAAUGGUAUCCAAGAGCAGCAGCACCUAAACAACAGGGUACUUGUGUCAAUUUAUACAAGUAGAGAUAUCUUUCUUGUCACAUCUCUUCACCCCACCAUGGAACCACUAUCAGUAAAAACAAAUAAAGGCUAAGAGUUAUACAAGAAAUUUGAGGCAAUAGACAGUAACCUGACACUUCGAAAACAUAGAAUAGAAAUUUGCCAAGGUCACUCUUGGAACAGAAAAACAGCAAUUGGAAACAAUUGGAGGAGCGAAUUUCUAUAGUUAAAAUCUCUCUGAACUUGAACUUUUGCUUCAACUUUAUCAUAUGUACACAAUCUUACACCGAAUGGUCUUUCAAUUAAUAUAGUAAAUAGUAAAGCAUAGAUCAGGCUCCCAAUCAUGGUAUGGUAGAUGCAAUCUGGAACCAUAAAUUACCAUUUGAAAACUUUUCUGCUUUACUUGUGUGGGAAAAAACUGUUCUACAAAUUAAAAACUACCAAGGCUGCAUCUGAGGUUCAUCCAAACCAUGUUGAGUAGGAAAAGGUUCUGCAGUCCAGAAUUCUCCAUAAUUGCUUUGGGAAAAAAUUUUGUCUUCUUGAUCAUCAUCCUCAGCCUCGAAAUCCAACUCCUCAAAUAUAUUCUCAAAACCAUCAUCAUACACAUUCUCAAAAUUGUCGAUCCCAAUAUUAUCAUCGUAAUCAUCAUCACUGUCAGAAUUAUUUUGAUCAGCUUCAUUCAAGCUGCCAAUAUCUUUGCUAAACCUGCUCUUCCUUCUCUCUCGUCUCAUUCUCUUGGACUCCCUAGCCAAGUCCAUCCAUUUAUCCUGUAUGGAUAAAAUCUCUUCCUUCUCCAAUAAAUCACCCUUCUCACCAAACCCCUCCACCAAGAAAACCGAAUGUCGCUGCCCUUUCAAACUCACAUAAAACAAUUCCGGGUGCCUUAUUAUCAUUCCUCUCAACUUGUUUGGGAAGCCAAAUUCCUUUCUGAAAUGAGUCAAGUGGUCUAUCAAAGUCCUCUUUUCAAUUGUCAUUGCAAGAAUCUCCCUUACUACUGCACAAGAUCUCUUUUCUGCCUCCAACGAUUCCUUGGAAAAAGCCUCGGCAGGAUUCCUGUAAGGGCAAACUUCUGGCA
rnacentral:lncRNA from 1 species